GAAAAGAACCCCUGUUAGGGGAGUGAAAUAGAACCUGAAACCGUAUACCUACCAGCGGUCGGAGCCCUAUUAAUGGGGUGACGGCGUGCCUUUUGCAUAAUGACCCGGCGAGUUGGCGUAGGCGGCAAGGUUAAGGAUUUAAGGUCCGAAGCCGAAGCGAAAGCGAGUGCGAAAUGUGCGACAUUUAGUCGAGUGCGCCAGACCCGAAAUCAGGUGAUCUAACCAUGGGCAGGUUGAAGCGGAUGUAACAGUUCGUGGAGGACCGAACGGGUAAAUGUUGAAAAAUUUUCCGAUGACCUGUGGUUAGGGGUAAAAGAUCAAUCAAACCUGAAGAUAGCUGGUUCUCCCCGAAAUAGCUUUAGGGCUAGCCUCAGGAGUUUCGCGACGGGGGUAGAGCUACUGU
rnacentral:rRNA from 1 species